rnacentral:lncRNA from 1 species
GGGCUGGAGGGAGAUGGCGCCGCGCUCCCGGAUGAACAGAGAAAGCGACAGGACGCCCUUGCAUACAUUAAGAUAUGUAUAUAUGGAAAUGUUACCGGGAGUCCCGGUUAUCCCAAAAAGGGUUGUUUCCUGUUGCGUGGUGAGGCCAAUGCACGAAACCGAAAGGGAGUGUGUCAAGCAGUGCAGGCUGUAUUCAAUGGCUAUGGAAUUGGAAGAUCUGAAAUCAACUUAGCUUGUGAGAGCUGGGAAGUUUCAGAGGUAGGGUGUCUUUAAUGAAGGGGCUGGGCAUUAAGAGCACGGGGGGGAAUAUUCGUGCUUUCCUUGGGAAAGAACGGAGAUUUUUCCCGGAAUCAAGAAACCCCUUUUUUUCUGUCCCUUCUUGGUCUCUUCCAGUCGUUGUCAUGGCGACAUGUUGUUUAGCAUGAGAACAGGAUGAUGAUAAAGCCAGAGGCUCUUCAGAGGCGCCAUCUUGGAUUUCGCCAGCUUCAGCUGGUUUCGUCCUAAGAAGGAACUUCGAAACACAGGCAUUCUUUUUCCUGAAAAUAAGCAGAGUUACAGCUGAGUAGGAAUUUAGCUCUGUCCCAUAUGCUAUCGCAUUGGGCAGCAAAAGCAGGGUGGGGUCCAGCGAAAUCAGCAGGCACUGCAAUGAGUAACAUACCCAGCCACGUUUAUGCAGCAUUUUUACGAAAAUGAAACCAUACUACCUGUAAAGGAAGAUAUGCUAACAAACAACAAAACUGGCAGGAACCAAGAUUCCUACUGACACUACCCUUAGUU